UCUAAGAACAGGUCUGGCGUGUAAGUGCUCACAUACGUUCCUGUAUAAAUGUGUUGGGCUCAUCGUUUAGACUGCUUGAACGAGAAGCUGAGAUGUUACCGUCUCUUCUCAUGUUUUGUGCAAGGAACAAAAGCUGGAGCCAGGUUAAAGAAAGCUCUUACAAAGGUUUUUAUAAAAGUGAAGCAACAUGAAGAACAAAAAUUAUCACAAAAAUGACACAGUUUCUGAUGACUUGGACAUCUCCAGAAAGCAAUUCCUAGCACCACAACUGGAUCAGAUUUUCAUAGUUUUUGUCAAGAUGACUACGCCCCUAAGUGAUUCAAAUAUUGUUAGAGCAGAAUUAAGUGAUGUGCAAUUCCUGUCAGUGUCCCGAAAAUAGUCUCUCAUUUGAAUACGAAGAUGUAGAGGGCUACUGAUUGAUGAGUGUCUCACCUCGAGUAGUGGAGGCGGACCCCAGCCUCAGCAUACCCACGUCCUUCAAGCCCUCUCUGGAUCUCCUUUGUCUCAGCUGGAGAGCUUCUUCGGAGAAAGGGCUGGGGAUGGCACUAGUCUGACAGCAGGAAAUUUGCAGAAGACCUUAGAUGAGCAGUAAUCCAUCAUCCUUCCAAAUUGCUCGCGUCGUCUCAAGCAACAAGAUUGGAACCUACACAUAGGAAGCAAAAAAAAAAAGGUGCUCCAGCAGCAGCUGAGUCUCUGGCGGCGCUGAACGAUGGCCGGGGAAGCAGAGGCCUCCCGCCGGGAGGAGGUUCGCCCAGGCUGCUCAAAACACUUGACAAUUUCUACCAGGGCCCCAAAUUUCUGAAUCCCAACCAGAAGUGAUGCCGAUUUCAGGGCCAAGAGGUGUAGAGCAUCUUCUGGAAGCAGCUUGAGGCAGAGGAGCCUUCCGGAUAGAAACCAAAUUUUGCUGCGAUGACAGAGAGAGCUGGUGGUGGUGGUGAGGGGGCUUUAUUCCCGUGUUGCAGUGGAUGGUAGCCCAAAUUCCUCAAGUGGAUGUCACCGCUACUGAAGUGUUUGAUAAAGGUUAUGCUGUAAACACAUCAUGGCAAACAAUGAGAUUGGGGAGUACGACCGAACUCAUUCAGCUUACAAGACGUUAUUUACUGACACGUACUGGAGAGACAUUUUGAAAGACCUGUUUCCCAUGAAAAAAAUGCAGAUUUCUUAGCUGUUUUGCAGUGUUAAACAUGUUUAACAGCAUGUUAGAUGGGAGAAAAAUCUACACAAUGGCUUCCACUAUCUCACCAAAAUAUUUCAAUAAUGUUUGAAAACCAUCAGAAGCAAAACAAUAUACAUUUUUCUCUGACUUUACCGUUGUAACUUAUUCCAUUUUGUCUUGUAUGUGGUAUUAAAAUAUCAGCAUAUAUUGCUUUUAAUUAAUUUAUUAUGUAUUAAAUUGUAAUAUAAAAAUUCAAAGUUGAAAGCUCCAGGAUUUCAUUGUGGAAUAGAAAUUCUACUUGUCAACAAGGCGUCGCAGUCUGUGAAGAGAGUAGCUUGGGCUAUUUCAGUUGCAAGGGCGCAUUUCCAGGGCGGGGGGCGGUGAGUCCAGGUGUCCCAGGAGUUAGUUAACACAUUAGCUUGAGACUAGGACUGAGGUUCAUGCUGUGCAGACCUUCUGUGUGGCUACAGAUGGAUCACUUGCUCUUUCUGGGCCUCAUUUCUCUAGAUAGAAACAUGUGAAUAAUAGCAACUCACGGAUGUGAAUUCAUGAUUUGUUUGAACUGGAUCCUAAUGACAAUGAUGGGAUUUCUUCAUGGUAAUCCUUACACAUUUAAGUUAAGUAAGCAUAAUAAAAAUCAAACAA